rnacentral:rRNA from 1 species
GUGCCAGCCGCCGCGGUAAUACCGGCAGCCCGAGUGAUGACCGCUAUUAUUGGGCCUAAAGCGUCCGUAGCUGGCCACGCAAGUUCGUCGGGAAAUCUGCGCGCUUAACGCGCAGGCGUCCGGUGGAAACUGCAUGGCUUGGGACCGGAAGACCAGAGGGGUACGUCUGGGGUAGGAGUGAAAUCCUGUAAUCCUGGACGGACCGCCGGUGGCGAAAGCGCCUCAGGAGAACGGAUCCGACAGUGAGGGACGAAAGCUAGGGUCUCGAACCGGAUUAGAAACCCUGGUAGUCC